rnacentral:lncRNA from 1 species
UAAUUAUUUUCUUUGUUUUAUGACAAUAUAUUGCAUAUAAAAUAUUUUUAAUACUCGCACAAAGUGCGAGCAAACUACUGGUUUAGUUUAAUAAUAAUAGUCCCCUGUAAGCUAAUGAACAUAUCUGCUUGACAGCCAUCUAAGACCUCAAGUUUAGUUUCACCUUUCUAGAGUUGCUGAUCAAAUCAACCUUUUCAAAAGUAUGUUUUUCCCUUUUUAAAUCAAGCUCUUUAUACAAGGCAAAAGCACAAACUUCUGAUCUGUUAGGUUUCUUUAAGUUGGCAGUUUUUGCCUUCUGUAGACCCUAAGGAUAUCUUCUUCAUCAUAUUUUUAGUAUGAAGUUCCUCAUAUAAGCCUUAAUAUUGGUAAUAUCUUUCACAUACCACCUACAUGGUAGAAAUCGCAUCCAUGUUCAAUGACGUUGCUCGAGCAAAAACAACUUCAUCAUUCUCGUUCUUCAAUUAGUCUCUAUCCCAUGGAAGCAUGGUUUUCUAGGUAAUUUUAUCCACCAAGUGGUAGUUAUCUGCAAUAGAACAAUGCCAUCGCUAACUAACAUCAAAAAAUUUUGCAAAAGGGUGAAAUUAAUGUCUCUAGAGCCAGAGGUAGGAUGAUGUUCUUCUCCAAAACUAAAACUUUUCCUAAUAUUUCAACUCUUGAACGAAACUAGACUUUGUGAAAUCAUAUUGAGUAUUUGACAAUAUAUUUUGUUUCUUGCUAAAAAACAGAUCAUUGUUUACCAACCAUAUCUUAUCUAACUAAAUCCACUUCUCUCUCCAUAUAUUUCUCAAGAAAUCUGAUUGGUGCAGAUUAUUGCCCCAACUAAUAAAGAGAUUUUGGCAAAAUUGCCACAUAAAAUUGAACACAAUUUUGCAAAGAAAUAGCCCAUUUGUUUCUGGAGAAGUUUAGUUCCUAAUGAUGAAGUGAAUAAAAUCUUAUACAUAAAUUGGUUAAUAGAAAAAUGGAAAAUUUUUUUAUUGUAUCGCUUAAGUUAUAUAGGAAUUUUUGAGCCAAGAAUUAAGAAUGAUAAAUUUUUUAUUAUUUAAAAUAGGAUAAUCAUUUAGAAUAAUGACAAAUUAUAUUUGUCAAGAAGUGUAAUAUCGUAUGGAUACGAUCCUUUGAAGGAAAUAAGCUUGUUAUGCCAGCUGUAGUGUCCACAGUUGCACGUACCCACUUUGCACCCACUUUGCACGUUGUUCUGUUUCUGCCCACUUUGCACGUUGUUCUGUUUCUGCAUGUUUUGUUUAAUUGUUCAGCAUCCGUUUUUCCCUCAAUCCAUGAUUUAUGCAAUAUGGCGUGAUGCUCGGAUUGAAACUUGUUUUUCAGUUGUAAUUCUAGUAUAAAUAAGGCAAUAUCUCAAUGAAAGAAGAUGUGUUGAGUUCUCAAGAAAUUUAGCUACAGCUUGAUUUCUCUGUCCUUAGCUACACUGCUCUUUUCUUAAAAAUUCUGCAGAAACUUCAAAUUUUGAAGUAAUAUCAACAGUUGCAGCAACCUCAUAAAGUUCAGGUCCACUGCUUCGCUUCCAUCUUUGGGUGAUCAUAUUCACAGUUUACACUUGGUAUUAGAGCCCGGGACCUAGUUUAUGCCCAAAUACAUGCCACGACACGAAGCUUCAUCGUCCAGUGCUGUCCGUAGUGGUAACGGCGGCAAUGGUGGUCAGACGAUAGAAACUGGACAGACGGUAGAAACGAUAGUGAGAGCACCCGUAAGAGAAGGGGGUGUCUCUCUGCAGUAUCCGCUCCUAACAAAGACAAAUUAUGCAGCUUGGGCAAUCAAGAUGCAAGUAUAUAUGCAAGCUCAAGGUGUUUGGGAUGUCGUUGAGUCAGAAGAUCCAGUUGAUCCUCGUUCAGACCGGAUUGCAUUGGUGGCAAUCUUUCAAGGGAUCACCGAAGAUACCCUAUUACAGUUGGGGGGUAAAGAAAUCAGCUAAAGAGGCAUGGGACGCUCUCAAGGUUAUGAACCUCAGUGCAGAGAGGGUCAAAGAAGUACGGGCACAAGCUCUCAGAUGGGAGCUCAAAAGCAUGAAGAUGGAGGUUGGUGAAUCCGUUGAUGAAUUUACUGGAAAGAUUUCGACAGUUGUCAACAAGCUCCGAGCUCUUGGUGAAAGGGUUGAUGAAACGUAUGUAGUGAAGAAAAUGCUACGUUCAGUGUCCCCUAAAUACCUUCAGAUUGCCUCAACCAUAGAAGAAUUCGGGAACUUGUCUGUUAAGACAAUUGAAGAUAUAACUGGUUCUCUCAAAGCUCACGAGGAGAGGUUGCGGAGCUACGAUUCCAGAGGAGACGAAUAUGUGCUACUCACUAAAGGAGAGUGGAAAGCACGAGCGGAGUCCUCAAGAUCCAACGAGAAGCACCCACAGGACGUGAGCAGAGGCCGGGGACACGGACGUGGUAGAGGACGCGGCAGAGGUAGAGGAGGUGGUCGCGGCAGGGGUCGUGGCCUUCCUGGAACAAGUCAAGGUCAGGAUGAUGAAGGACAACACCGUCAGAAGUUUGACAUUAAAAAGGUCAGGUGUUACAAUUGCAAUGAAUAUGGCCAUUUUCAAUCUGAUUGCAAAGCUGAAAGAAAGGAAAAAAAUGAGGCACAUUUAGUGGAGCAAUUUGAAGAGGAGUCGACGUUGUUAAUGCUAGAAACCAGUGAGCUGAUUCACAUUGGUGAAGAGAAAGAAAAAGAGCUAAUGUUGAAUGAAGAACAGAUCAUGAUUUUGAAGGUGUAGAAACAAAAGGAACCAUGUGGUACUAUGAUACGGGGGCAAGCAACCAUAUGACCGGCAACAAGCAGGCCUUAACCGAUCUCGAUGAAACAAUCAAAGGGAAUGUCAAGUUUGGUGAUGGUUCCAUCGUCAAGGUAGAAGGUCGAGGCACUUUAGUGUUUCAGUGCAAGAAUGGAGAUCAUUUUAAACUAACAAAUGUGUACUACAUUCCUUGAUUAAGAUCCAAUAUUAUAAGUCUUGAUCAACUCGACGAAUCAGGAGCAAAAGUGGUGGUGAAUGGAGGAAUUCUCAGAGUAUAUGAUGCAAAGGGUAGAUUGAUAGCCAAGGUGCAGAGAUCUAAAAAUCGUCUGUAUACGAUGAAGAUGAUACAAGCUAAAUCGGAGUGCCACUUGACAAGGUUGUCAGAAAAAUCUUGCUUAUGGCAUGCACGCUUUGGGCACUUGAACUAUCAAGCUUUACGCAAGCUUGCACAAGAAAGCUUGGUGAAAGGUUUGCCGGAGAUAGAAACAGUGAAGUACAUUUGUGAACCUUGUGUGAUCAGCAAGCAGCAUCGCACAAGUUUCCCGAAAGCAGGAGAGUAUCAAGCAACUAAACCUCUAGAACUCAUGCAUGGUGAUUUGUGUGGGCCGAUAUCACCUACCACAUGCGGCGGAAAUAGGUAUUUUCUUUUGCUUGUGGAUGACUACAGUCGUUAUAUGUGGAUUGAAAUGCUUAGAAGUAAAGAUGAAGCUUUUAAUGCUUUCAAAAAAGUGAAAGCUCAGAUCGAAGUCCAGUCCAAAUGUAAGCUUAAAAUGUUUAGAACAGAUAGAGGAGGUGAGUUUACAUCGAAUGAGUUCGAAGAGUACUGCAAGUUACAUGGCAUCAAACGCCAGCUCACUGCACCUUAGUCCCCACAACAAAACGGUGUAGUAGAAUGGAGAAACCAAACCGUAGUGGAGAUGAUGAGGUGUCUAUUAAACAGCUCCGGGGUGCCAGCUACAUACUGGGGAGAAGCUGCACGUAUUGCAGUAUACAUAUUGAACAGAUCACCUACAAAAAGUGUCUAAGGCAUGACUCCGUAUCAAGCGUGGCAUGGAAGACUCCCAAGUGUUCAUCAUAUGCGUGUUUUUGGUUGCAUUGCAUAUGCCAAAAACACAGCUCCUCACUUGAGAAAAUUAGAUGACAGGAGCAUGAAGCUGGUUUUAUUGGGAUAUGAACCAGGGUCCAAAGCAUAUCGAUUAUUGAAUCCAAAUUCUAACCAAAUUGUGGUAAGUCGGGAUGUUGUGUUUUAGGAAGAAGAGAAGUGGAAAUGGCAAGGCCAGACGACAUCAAACUCCACAACAGAAGGACCACUUGUCAUCACAUACAAGGAAGCACAAAUGCAAGAAGACAAAAACCUCCGAAGUCAGGAACUGACGCCAGCUUCCUUAUCACCUAUAGCCGAGUCAAAUCUAGAACAUUCAGAGACAGGAGAAAGCAGCUCGGAGGGACCAAGGAGGUUCAGGACUCUUCAAGAAAUUUAUGACAACACAGUGGAGGUCGACCAAGACUACGGUCUUUACCUGAUGUCAAUUGAAGAACCAGCAUCUUACCAUGAAGCUGCCUGCAGUGAACAUUGGCGACAAGCAAUGAUAGAAGAAAUGGAGGCUAUCCGGAGAAACGGAACAUGGGAACUAGCAGAACUCCCAAAGGACCAGAGAGCUAUUGGUCUGAAAUGGAUCUUCAAAGUAAAGAAGAAUCCAGAAGGGGAGAUCAUUAAAUAUAAAGCAAGACUUGUUGCAAAGGGGUAUGUGCAGAAACAAGGCAUAGACUUUGAAGAAGUCUUUGCUCCCGUAGCCAGGCUGGAGACUGUGAGAGUAUUACUUGCUGUAGCCGCUCAAGAAGGCUGGAUAGUGCAUCAUAUGGAUGUCAAAUCUGCAUUCUUGAAUGGUGAGAUAGAAGAAGAGGUUUAUGUGACACAACCAGACGGAUUCAUUGAACAAGGAGAGGAAGGAAAGGUUUUGAAACUACGAAAGGCCCUGUAUGGUCUUAAACAGGCGCCUCGGGCAUGGAAUAUAAAGCUAGACAAAUGUUUCCGAGAGCUGGGGUUUCAAAGAUGUAUGAUCGAACAUGCAGUCUACAAGAAACACGAAGGAGAUGAAGUGCAGAUUGUAGGAGUGUACGUAGAUGAUCUGAUAAUCAUGGGCUCAAAGCCGAGAGGAGUGGAGAAUUUCAAAGCCAAGAUGAGAAAGAUCUUCGAGAUGAGUGAUCUUGGGAUGCUAAGCUACUACCUGGGUAUAGAAGUCAAGCAAAAGCCAUAUAGCAUCACCCUUAACCAGUCAGGGUAUGCUGAGAAGAUGCUCGAGAAGCUUGGCCUGGCUGAGUGCAAGCCAUGUCGGGUUCCAAUGGAUACACGGGUGAAGCUGAGCAAGUCAGAUGGAAGUCCUCCGGUAGAUGCAACACUAUACAGGAGUGCAAUCGGAAGUUUGAGGUAUUUGGUGAACACUCGACCCGAUCUUGCAUAUUCAGUUGGAAUUGUAAGUCGUUUCAUGGAAGCCCCAACAACGAAACAUCUAGCAGCCGUAAAAUAGAUAUUGCGUUAUGUGAAAGGCACCUUACAUCAUGGGUGCAUAUACAACAAGGUGGAAGAGGAGGAGUUCAAGCUAGUAGGCUAUAGCGACAGUGACUUAGCCGGAGACGUAGAUGAUCGAAAAAGCACGACAGGAGUAAUCUACUUCCUCGGCCAAAGCCCUGUCACUUGGAUUUCUCAGAAACAGAAAGUUGUAGCCUUAUCCUCUUGUGAAGCCGAGUAUAUUGCUGCAACAGCAGGAGCUUGUCAAGGCGUAUGGAUUAGUAGGCUGUUACAUGAAUUGAUCGGUUGGAAGACAAACAAGUUUGUGUUAAGAGUUGACAACAAGUCUGUAAUAGCUCUCUCAAAGACUUCCGUCCACCAUAACAGAAGCAAGCACAUAGAUAUUAAGUUUCAUUUCAUUCGGGAGUGUGUCCAAAGAGAAGAAGUCGAAAUCGAGUAUGUAAAAACUGAAUCACAACUCGCUGAUAUUCUGACAAAGCCACUGUCCCGAGACAAGAUCGACGAGUUGAGCAUGAUGAUUGGGAUCAAAGAUGUGAAGAACAAGCUUACGGGGGAGAAAUGAAGGAAAUAAGCUUGUUAUGCCAACUGUAGUGUCCACAGUUGCACGUACCCACUUUGCACCCACUUUGCACAUUGUUCUGUUUCUGCCCACUUUGCACGUUGUUCUGUUUCUACAUGUUUUGUUUAAUUGUUCAGCAUCCGUUUUUCCCUCAAUCCAUGAUUUAUGCAAUAUGGCGUGAUGCUCGGAUUGAAACUUGUUUUUCAGUUGUAAUUCUAGUAUAAAUAAGGCAAUAUCUCAAUGAAAGAAGAUGUGUUGAGUUCUACAACUUGAUUUCUCUGUCCUUAGCUACACUGCUCUUUUCUUAAAAAUUCUGCAGAAACUUCAAAUUUUGAAGUAAUAUCAACAGUUGCAGCAACCUCAUAAAGUUCAGGUCCACUGCUUCACUUCCAUCUUUGGGUGAUCAUAUUCACAGUUUACAUCCUUAUUAUCCAUACGAUACUCAUUGUGCAUCUUGAUCAAUUGAAUGGUUUCUUUGGGAGGAGGCUAUGAGGUUAUUCUAAUCUCAUUCUUCCGACGUUUCACUUGUUGUGUCAUCUCAACAACUUUUCUCUUUUUUUUUUUUUCAACAACUUUGCUUGCCAGAGAAGGAUAUUUUCCAACCAUCUGUGAAUAGAAAAAAUUCAAGAAUUCUAAAAAAUAUUCAAAAACAAGUUUUAGUUUUACCUUCAGGAAAGCCCUAACAUCCUACCCACUACGUUCACUAUAAAGUAUCAAAAUUUCCUCUUGAAUCAGCCUUUUCUACUCCAUAUUUUCUGAAUUCGGUUAUAAUUUUCAACUCUCAAAAUGCUAACAUUUAGGCUUAGUAAUUUGAAGUGCUCUUUUGAAUUUUUGGACUUAGACUGUCUCGUUAAAAGGGAAACCAAUCUAUCCUUCAAGAUUCAUAUGAUGGAUCAUGGAGAAGUAGGAUUUCCAAUUCUUACAAAAAUAAGGCAACUCAUCAAAAGGUUGCAACCCCUUGUUGAUGCAAAGUAGUAAAAAUCGUCUGCUUUUUUCAGUUUCACAGCUUGUACAUCAAUCGGAAAACUUGAGGAAAGAUUUCAAUAUUCUAGAUUCAUUUAAGAGAUUGGAAAGCCUCUAAUAUCCUAUAGCAGUUUGGAUGAAGUUGUGCAUACUAGUUUGGGACAAAUUCAAACCUUUAUUACUUCACUUCUUUCUUUUGAGCACUUCUUUUGCUAAAAUUUGUUCUCAAAUUUUCAUCCUAAAACUCUACAGGAGUUCUUAUUUCCUCAUUAGAUAAUCGUUGCCAACGUGCUUUUGUAAGGUAAUAUAGUUUCUAGUUUCAAAAUGGUUUCUUCAUCUCUCCCCCAACUAUUUUGUCUAUUUAUUCGGAUAUGAAUAUUGAUUGGUUAGAUGUAGAAGAUACCAUAUUAAAAAAAUCAACACAUUGAUAAGGUAGAAGACAUUGCGCCUCACUAGAAAUUGAUGAAACCCAAAUAAAAUGUCGCUAAAUGUCUCGAGCCAGAAUAUAUUAUUCCUUUGGGAAAAAUCAAAGAACCAAAUCUUCAACAAUUGGUCAUCAAUAUUGCACCUUCAUUGUCCAAGACUGAUUUUGGUGUAUUGGAUUCAAAUAUCAUGUUUUAAGGACUAUUUGGUUUUUACAUGUUUCAUGGUAGAUGGUCGAUGAUAUGGUACUGAAAGAAAGAUCUUUGGUUAUUGUUUAAAAGCACUUCAAAGUUGGAUAUUCACUCCAACUUGUUUUAUUUUCGUCACCCUCUUAUAUAGAGAAAGCAUAGGCAGGAAAAAGGCAUAUUAAUUUCCAAAUUAUUGCUUGUUAUUCUCCAAAAAAAUUAAUCAUCGAUUCUCUUCAUUUUUGGAAUGAUGCCAAGUGUCCAAUGCCCAGUGUCCCUACUAGAUCUUUCUAGAAGUUGAACGUAAAGAUUCAAAUCCUAGAAUGGAGUAAUGGUAUACGUACCACUUAAAUUUUCAAAUAUAUAACCUAAAACCGAAAUCUAAAAUCUACUAUCAGUUAUGAAGUCAAAAUAUGAGAAAAGACAGAACUUGAAUUCCUCUCCUACUUUUAGAGGAUUCUGAAUACUUCUCAAAUUAGAUGUCUUAACUAGGGUGCUAAAUCCUAUAAACUCGUGUUCCCUCACCCCAAAAGCUAGGUUAAUUUAUGGCAGGCUCAACAUCGGAUAGGAAGACUUUGAUACUAUAUUAGAUUUGGGUCAGGUCCAACUCAUCCCAAACUAGCUUAAAGAGGAGGAGAAGUGCCUAUGACUCAUAUAAAGACAUGUUACCCCUUCUCACAACCGAUGUGGGAUUCAGCAGGACUUACUUAAUAAACUAAUCAUAUGAUAUUGUUACCUUUUUGUAGAUCCAUACCAUACCAAAAGAGAAGAUGAAGGAUAACAUUAGCAAUAAUAUAGAAGGUACAUACAUACAUUUUAAUAAUUUGAUUUAUUUUUAUAAAAAUUUUAAUGAAAAAUUGGAAUAUAAAUUAACUUACAAG